AGUGAAUAGAUACCCCGGUAGUCCACGCCGUAAACGAUGAGUGCUAAGUGUUAGGGGGUUUCCGCCCCUUAGUGCUGCAGCUAAACGCAUUAAGCACUCCGCCUGGGGAGUACGGUCGCAAGACUGAAACUCAAAGGAAUUGACGGGGGCCCGCACAAGCGGUGGAGCAUGUGGUUUAAUUCGAAGCAACGCGAAGAACCUUACCAGGUCUUGACAUCCCGUUGACCACUGUAGAGAUAUGGUUUUCCCUUCGGGGACAACGGUGACAGGUGGUGCAUGGUUGUCGUCAGCUCGUGUCGUGAGAUGUUGGGUUAAGUCCCGCAACGAGCGCAACCCUUGAUCUUAGUUGCCAUCAUUUAGUUGGGCACUCUAAGGUGACUGCCGGUGACAAACCGGAGGAAGGUGGGGAUGACGUCAAAUCAUCAUGCCCCUUAUGACCUGGGCUACACACGUGCUACAAUGGACGAUACAAACGGUUGCCAACUCGCGAGAGGGAGCUAAUCCGAUAAAGUCGUUCUCAGUUCGGAUUGUAGG
rnacentral:rRNA from 1 species